ensembl:rRNA 5S_rRNA 5S ribosomal RNA
GCAUGUGGCCAUACCACCCUGAUCAUGCCUGUUCAGGGUCAGGCCUGGUUAGUACUGGGAUGGGAGACCCCCUAGGAAUACCAGGUGCCGUAAGCA